rnacentral:ncRNA from 4 species
CAUUAGAUGACUGAAAGCAAGUACUGGUCUC